rnacentral:rRNA from 1 species
AUUGAACGCUGGCGGCAGGCCUAACACAUGCAAGUCGAGCGGAGCGGCGGACGGGUGAGUAAUGCCUAUGAAUCUGCCUGGUAGUUGGUGAUAACGUCCGGAAACGGGCGCUAAUUCCGCCUACUCUCUGUUGACCCUAGGUCGGAUUAGCUAGAUGGUGGGGUAAAGGCUUACCAAGGCGACGCUCCGUAACUGGUGUGAGAGGAUGAUCAGUCACAAUGGAACUGAGACACGGUCCAGACUCCUACGGGAGGCAGCAGUGGGGAAUAUUGGACAAUGGGCGAAAGCCUGAUCCAGCCAUGCCGCGUGUGUGAAGAAGGUCUUCGGAUUGUAAAGCACUUUAAGUUGGGAGGCGUUACCAACAGAAGAAGCACCGGCUAACUUCGUGCCAGCAGCCGCGGUAAUAC